rnacentral:rRNA from 1 species
GACUCUUAGCGGUGGAUCACUCGGCUCGUGCGGUCGAUGAAGAACGCAGCUAGCUGCGGAGAUUAGUGUGAAUUGCAGGACACAUUGAUCAUCGACACUUCGAACCACCUUGCGGCCCCGGGUUCCUCCCGGGGCUACGCCUGUCUGAGGGUCG